rnacentral:rRNA from 1 species
AGUGAACGCUGGCGGUAGGCCUAACACAUGCAAGUCGAACGGUAGCACAGUAAGAGCUUGCUCUUACGGGUGGCGAGUGGCGGACGGGUGAGGAAUACAUCGGAAUCUACUUUUUCGUGGGGGAUAACGUAGGGAAACUUACGCUAAUACCGCAUACGACCUACGGGUGAAAGCAGGGGAUCUUCGGACCUUGCGCGAUUGAAUGAGCCGAUGUCGGAUUAGCUAGUUGGCGGGGUAAAGGCCCACCAAGGCGACGAUCCGUAGCUGGUCUGAGAGGAUGAUCAGCCACACUGGAACUGAGACACGGUCCAGACUCCUACGGGAGGCAGCAGUGGGGAAUAUUGGACAAUGGGCGCAAGCCUGAUCCAGCCAUACCGCGUGGGUGAAGAAGGCCUUCGGGUUGUAAAGCCCUUUUGUUGGGAAAGAAAAGCAGCAUGUUAAUACCCCGCUGUUCUGACGGUACCCAAAGAAUAAGCACCGGCUAACUUCGUG